rnacentral:rRNA from 1 species
UACGAAGGGUGCAAACGUUAUUCGGAAUCACUGGGCGUAAAGGGUGUGUAGACGGUAUGUUAAGUUCGUUGUUAAAGGCUUCAGCCUAACUGGAGUUCCGCAAUGAAAACUGGCACACUAGAGGAUGAGAGAGAGAAGUGGAAUUCCCGGAGUAGCGGUAAAAUGCGUGGAUCUCGGGAGGAACACCAAUGGCGAAGGCAGCUUCUUGGCUCAUAUCUGACGUUGAGACACGAAAGCGUGGGGAGCAAACAGG